rnacentral:rRNA from 1 species
UACGUAGGGUGCGAGCGUUGUCCGGAAUUAUUGGGCGUAAAGGGCUCGUAGGCGGUUUGUCGCGUCAGGAGUGAAAACUCGGGGCUUAACCCCGAGCCUGCUUCUGAUACGGGCAGACUAGAGGUAUGCAGGGGGAGAACGGAAUUCCUGGUGUAGCGGUGAAAUGCGCAGAUAUCAGGAGGAACACCUGUGGUGUAGACGGCUUUCUGGACCAUAACUGACGCUGAGACACGAAAGCGUGGGUAGCAAACAGG